rnacentral:rRNA from 1 species
GCGAAAGGGUGAGGAACGCGUGAGUAAUCUGCCCAUAAGUUGGGAACAACAGUUGGAAACGACUGCUAAUACCGAAUGUGGCUAUUGACCCGCAUGGGUUUUUGGCUAAAGAUUUAUCGCUUAUGGAUGAGCUCGCGUCCCAUUAGCUAGUUGGUGAGGUAACGGCCCACCAAGGCUACGAUGGGUAGCUGGUCUGAGAGGAUGGUCAGCCACACUGGGACUGAGACACUGCCCAGACUCCUACGGGAGGCUGCAGUCGAGAAUCUUGGGCAAUGCGCGAAAGCGUGACCCAGCAAUGCCGCGUGCAUGAUGAAGGCCCUCGGGUCGUAAAAUGCUGUCUCCCGUGACGAAUAAUGACGGUAGCGGGGAAGGAAGCCACGGCUAACUACGUGCCAGCAGCCGCGGUAAUACGUAGGUGGCGAGCGUUGUUCGGAUUUAUUGGGCGUAAAGGGUCUGUAGGAGGUUUGUUAAAUACGAGGUGAAAUCCGGGGGCUCAACUUCCGAAUUGCCUUGUAGACUGAUGAACUAGAGUACUGGAGAGGUAAGCGGAAUACCAGGUGUAGCGGUGGAAUGCGUAGAUAUCUGGUAGAACACCAAUAGCGAAGGCAGCUUGCUGGACAGAAACUGACUCUGAAAGACGAAAGCAUGGGGAGCAAACAGGAUUAGAUACCCUGGUAGUCCAUGCCGUAAACGUUGUCAACUUGAUGUGGGCGGAUUUAGUCCUGUCCGUAUCGAAGCUAACGCGAUAAGUUGACCGCCUGGGAACUACGGCCGCAAGGCUAAAACUCAAAGGAAUUGACGGGGGCCCGCACAAGCGGUGGAGCAUGUGGCUUAAUUCGAGGCAACGCGAAGAACCUUACCCAGGCUUGACAUCUAGGGAACCCUUCGGAAAUGAAGGGGUGCCCUUCGGGGAGCCCUAAGACAGGUGCUGCAUGGCUGUCGUCAGCUCGUGCCGUGAGGUGUUCGGUUAAGUCCGGCAACGAGCGCAACCCGUGUCAUUAGUUGCCAACAGGUAAUGCUGGGGACUCUAAUGAGACUGCCUGUGUUAAGCAGGAGGAAGGCGCGGAUGACGUCAAGUCAGUAUGGCCCUUACGCCCAGGGCUGCACACGUGCUACAAUGGGGGGUACAAUGAGAAGCAAGUCCGCGAGGC